UACGGGGGGAGCAAGCGUUGUUCGGAAUUACUGGGCGUAAAGCGCGCGUAGGCGGCUGAUUAAGUCGGAUGUGAAAUCCCCGGGCUCAACCUGGGAACUGCAUACGAUACUGAUCGGCUAGAGUAUGAGAGAGGGAGGUAGAAUUCCACGUGUAGCGGUGAAAUGCGUAGAUAUGUGGAGGAAUACCGGUGGCGAAGGCGGCCUCCUGGCUUAAUACUGACGCUGAGGUGCGAAAGCGUGGGGAGCGAACAGG
rnacentral:rRNA from 1 species